rnacentral:lncRNA from 1 species
AAGGGUAGAUUGAUACAAUAUAAACCUCUGGUAAAAUGCCCCCCGUAACCCAGCGGAUAAAGUACAUUACAUAGUUCGUUUUAGGGAUUGGCGACUUACCCAUUCCGUGACUUUGGCACUGGACGUUCCAAAAAUGGGUACUAUCGGGUCGGGUGAAUUCAAUAAUAGACGCCUGGUGGCAUUCCAGCUUUCCUUCUCCUUUCAGGACCUAUCCGAAAGAGAAUCCAGUACUUCUCGGUCGUGAAUAUCUGAAUAGGGUGAACCGCCCCGUGGAUAUCUUUGCUUCGGAACAAAACAAUUAGAAUAGAAUUAGGCUUGGUCAACUGGAAUGUGUAUUAUCCAUAUAUUAUCCAUAUAGGGGAUCCUCCAGUUGAGAAGAUCCAUCGACCUGAGACGAAGAGAAAGGUCUAUCUAUUUUAUUUAGUUAUUCAGUUAAACCAAUGAUUCGUUAUUGGAGUAGAUAGCAACAACCAUUUCAUCCGACUUGCGUAUUUUUGAUUUUCCAAUGGAUUUACAUCUUUCAUUAAUGGAAAUUUUUUGAUGUAGUGAGUAAUAGCUCUGGUUGUUCGCUGUUCAAGAAUUCUUGUUUAGGCAGUUCAUACCAUCCAUACAUAGUGUUUUGAUCUAAGAUUUCAAUUCUUCCAUGUUUCAGCAGUAGCAUAUUGUUUCAUGGAGCAAAGGUCCAAAAUAUGGAAGAAACAGGUGUUUCCACAACUCUACCACCCAGUCCGUUCCACUUAAUCCCUAUUUCAUGACCACAUAUCUUUCCGGCUAAGUAAUGGGAAACCUUUCUCCUCUUACAUGAAUCCAAUUUUCAUUUCAUCCGGGAAAAGCCAUCUUUUUCUCAACAAUGUCUUUGUCAUUUGAUCCAAUAGCCUUCCGUUAGAUAGGAACAGAUUUGAUAAAUACUGAUAACUCUCGGAUGGAGUAUUAGAACGGAAAAAUCCAUUAGAUAAUGAACUAUUGGUUCUAAGCUAUCUCUGGCGAUGAAUCAAUAAUUUGAAGUGCUUUUCUUGCGUAUUCUUGAUAAACCAGCGUUUAUAUAUAGAUGUAGGAGGAUCUGUUUGGGAAGUAAGAAGCCCCUUUGACAUCUCUUCAUCUGCAAAGAAUUCUCGGUGUGAAAACACAGAGACAAAGGGCUGAUCUUUGAAUAGGAAAAAGAGUGGAUCCGCAGGAUCCCAAAUGAAUUGGCUUAUUAAAAAAAAGCCUUGUUCUUUGGAAGAUCUAUCUCGUGCCUGGUACUGCAUGGUUCCACUCUGCAAAAACGCCGAAUCAUUCUCUUGAAGCUCAUCCUUUUCAUCAUAAAUGAUCCGCUUGCCCCGAAAUGACCCGGCCCAAUAGGGAAAUCCCAAUUCAUUUGGCUUUUCGAUACAAUCAAAUAGAAAGCCCCAAGGGCGCCAUAUCCUAGGAGCCCAAACUAUGUGAUUGAAUAAAUCCUCCUCUAUCUGUUGCGGGUCGAGUACUCCUUCUCCUUCCCCUUCUUCAAACUCUGAUUCGUAUUUUUCAUAGAGAUUUCUCUGAUCAACGAUAGAACAAGAUCCAUUUUGCAUCAUAUAUAAGGGAUUCCCCGGCUCGGACCGAAGAAGCAAUGUCACUCGAUCAUUAUCAAACUGACUGCAAUCUUUUUCUGUCCAUGAGGAUCCCACCAGAGCGCCUUCUACUUCUAAUAGGCCAUGAACUAGAUCAGAAUCAUUCUCAACGAACCCAUAAGAAGUGAUCCCAUUUUUUUCAUCGGGUCCGGGUAGAGACCAAAGGUCUUGAGCGACCGAUCCGGCAGAACAACUCAAAAGAUAAAGAAGUAUCGUUAAUUUCUUCAUGCUCGUUCCAAGCUCGAAGUACCAUUUGUACAAAUAAGAAUCCCCUUCGUUACAUGAUUUCUUCUUCAUAUAGAUAGAUAUAGGAUCUAAGGGGCAAUUACUUAGAAGUACAUUUUGUACAACAGCCCUUCCUAUCUGAUAGAAAUGGAUCCCAUGAUCCUCAACCGAUCUUACCUGGGAUCGCAAAUCCCAAGUUUGUCUAUGAAGAGCAGAUCUAAUUGUAUUAGUGUCUAUAAUUGAUUUCUUCUGUGUAAUACUAAUCGAUAGGGCCUCAUUGGUAAGUGCUACAAGAUCUCGUGCAUUGGAACCCACGGUUAUGGACCCGAAUCCAUUAGUAUGGAACAUUUUCUUUUCCAAGUGAAAUCCCCUAGUAUAUGAAAGAGUGAAAAAGUGCUUUCGUUGUUGUGGAAUAAGAAGCCUUCGUAUCUUAAUACAUGUAUUUAAUUUAUUCGGGGCUAUUAGAGUGGGAUCCACUUUUUGGGGAAUAUGAGGUGAAGCAAUAACAAGAAUAUUUCUAGUGGAACAUCUUUCACAAUCCUUGGAGAGAUAGUUCACUAAUAGACCGAGGGAUAAGUAAUUCGCCUCAUUCACAUCCAGAUCAUGAAUGUUUGGAAUCCAUAUUAUGCAAUGAGACAUUGCUUUUGCUAGUUCGAAUUGAAGGGUGAUAUAAAAUCGGUCUAUUU